AAGGGAGACCUAAUUCAGGUAGGAGACGAAAAAAAAGUAGUCCCUACCAGGAAUCAAUCCCAAAAGGUCGGAGCGAGGCGAAAUUGGCUUUCAAACUAGGUUCUGGGUUCGAACAAGACCUGAAUCAGGAACAAGGGCUAUUAGCUCAGGUGGUUAGAGCGCACCCCUGAUAAGGGUGAGGUCCCUGGUUCGAGUCCAGGAUGGCCCACCUGCACAGGUGGCAAAAACAAGAGAAGCGAGGAAUCAGCACCUUAUCUUACUGACAUAGUAAGAGAGAAUGCUGGCUCUGAGUAAAGAGUCCAGAGGAACCUUGAAAACUGCAUAGAGCUAGGUGAAAAAGCCAAAAAAGAAGACCGCAA
rnacentral:tRNA from 1 species